rfam:Schistosoma mansoni strain Puerto Rico chromosome 2, complete genome
AUCCAACUGACGAGUCGCAAAUAAGAUGAAACGCGCGUGCUGGAU